rnacentral:rRNA from 1 species
CCUACGGGUGGCAGCAGUGAGGAAUAUUGUACAAUGGACGAGAGUCUGAUCCAGCCAAGUCGCGUGAGGGAUGACUGCCCUCUGGGUUUUAAACUUCUUUUAUAUGGGUAUAACAGCUUCCACGGUUGUGAUUUUGUAUGUACCAUAUGAAUCAGCGUCGGCUAACUCCGUACCAGCAGCCGGAGUAAUACGGAGGGUCCUGUCGUUCGCCGGAAUUAGUGGGUUUAAGGGUUUCGUAGGUGGAUGGUUACGUCCGUUGUGAAAGGUUGCUGGUCAACUGGAAAAGUGCAGUUGAAACUGGCAGGCUUGAGUACAGUAGAGGUGGGCGGAAUUCGUGGUGUAGCGGUGAAAUGCGUAGAUAUCACGAAGAACUCCGAUUGCGAAGGCAGUUCACUGGACUGCAACUGACACUGAGGCUCGAAAGUGUGGGUAUCAAACAGGAGUAGAUACCCGUGUAGUC